GCUGCGGGGGCCCUGCUGGUGCCGCUGGGGAGUAACUGGGAGCCUCCUGGGAGCCGCGGGGGGGCUGUUGGGAGCUGCCGGGAGCGCGUUGGUGCUGACUGGGAGCUACUGGGGCCUCUCCCCCCCCGCCCCGCUGCCGGUGUGGACUGGGAGCGCCGGGCUUGGGGGGGGGGGGGGGGCGCAGGAGGGAGCCCCCCAGGGCCUCAGAGGAGCCCCCGGGACGGAGCGGAGCCGUGGGUUGGGACCCCCCCAGAGCCACUCUUUUUUGGAUGUGGGGGGGGAUGACCUUUUCCCCCUCCCCCGGUGUGUGGGGGGGGCCCGGCGCUGCCCGCGGAGCGCGGCCUCGGCCCCCCCGAGGCCGGCAGGGUGAAGCCCCCCCGCAGCCUUGGAGGACGCUCGGGGUGUUUGUGGCGGAGCAGCAGCGGCGCCAUUGUCCGUGCAGGUGCGUGGGGCGCAGUGCGGGCCCCCCCCCCGCCUCUAAAACCAGUGUGUGUGUGUGGGGGGGUGUCAGGG